rnacentral:rRNA from 1 species
GAUGAACGCUGGCGGCGUGCCUAAUACAUGCAAGUCGAGCGAGCGGACGAGAAGCUUGCUUCUCUGAUGUUAGCGGCGGACGGGUGAGUAACACGUGGACAACCUACCUAUAAGACUGGGAUAACUUCGGGAAACCGGAGCUAAUACCGGAUAAUAUUUUGAACCGCAUGGUUCAAAAGUGAAAGACGGUCUUGCUGUCACUUAUAGAUGGAUUCGCGCUGCAUUAGCUAGUUGGUAAGGUAACGGCUUACCAAGGCAACGAUGCAUAGCCGACCUGAGAGGGUGAUCGGCCACACUGGAACUGAGACACGGUCCAGACUCCUACGGGAGGCAGCAGUGGGGAAUCUUCCGCAAUGGGCGAAAGCCUGACGGAGCAACGCCGCGUGAGUGAUGAAGGUCUUCGGAUCGUAAAACUCUGUUAUUAGGGAAGAACAUAUGUGUAAGUAACUGUGCACAUCUUGACGGUACCUAAUCAGAAAGCCACGGCUAACUACGUG